GCGGGAGUAACUCAGUGGUAGAGUGUCAGCUUCCCAAGCUGAAGGUCGUGGGUUCGAAUCCCAUUUCCCGCUCCA
rnacentral:tRNA from 1 species